rnacentral:tRNA from 1 species
GCCGAGGUGGCGAAAUUGGCAGACGCGCCAGCCUUAGGAGCUGGUCCCGCUUAGCGGGAUGGAGGUUCAAGUCCUCUCCUCGGCA